rnacentral:tRNA from 1 species
GGAUUGUCGCUCAGCGGUAGAGCGCUCGCCUAGCACGUGUGAGGCCCUGGGUUUGAUCCUCAGCACCA